UAGAUUAUAAAGGCUGAAAGCAUCUAAGCCUGAGGUUUCCCCCGAAAAUAAGCAACUUUUGGACAUGGGUAGAAGACCUGAUUGAUGGGGUAGGGGUGUAAGCUUCGAGGUUUUCGGACCGAGUUGUUCAGCCCGCUAUUUCCAACGUCCAUUUGGUGUGAUUU
rnacentral:rRNA from 1 species